rnacentral:lncRNA from 1 species
AUGCUUGAGACGCUGGUGGCCGGCGAGCUUGCUGCGUCCCGGAGGCGAGGCGGAGUGCGCGGUCCCGGGAUGUGGGUCCCUUCGCCCCAGACUAUGACAGAGGCUCCAUUCUCACCCGAGUACUACCUGGGUACCAGGAACCUUGCCAGCAGGAAAUCUGUGAAGAAAUACAAGGUGAAGUUAGUUUUGCUAAAGUGGAAGCAGAGGCUGGGAGUGGUGUAUACAGAGUGUGCAGGCCGGAGCUUUCAGAAUCCCAGAUGCUCUCCUGUCUCUCUCUUUGGAAUUAAGUCUACCCUUUGGUACCCCGAUGCUCUCCUUCACGGAUCCACAUGAAGACAACUUCUGAACCGCCCAGGUUGCAUGCUACAUUUACUUCUUUAUUGUCAUCGACAAGCUAACUGUGGUGGUUUGAAAGAAAAUGGCCCCCAAAGAGAGUGGCGCUAUUAGAAGGUGUGGCUUUUUUGGAGGAAGUGUGUAACUGUGGGGGUGGGCUUUGAGGUCUCUUUUGCUCAAGCUUCACUCAGCGUGACAGUCACUCCACUUUCUGCUGCCUUCUGGUCAAGAUGUAGCCAGCACCACAUCUGCCUGCAUGCAGCCAUGCUCCCAUCAUGAUGAUAAUGGACUAAGCCUCUGAAACUGUAAGACAACCCCUCAAUUAAAUGUUUUCUUUGUAAGAGAUGCAUGGUCAUGGUGUCUGUCCCUUCACAGCAAUAGAAAAAAAAAAACCUAAGUAACCUUAGCUUACUAUAACAUUUUACUCCAUACACUUUGUGAUUUUAAAAACUUUUUGUGAUAUUUAGCUUAAAACACAAGAUAUUUUAUAAAU